GGACAGUCCGAUUUCCAGUGGGGUCCCGCACAGAUGGGACACGGCUUAGGAGGAAUCCUGGGCUGCAGGCAUUCCUUGGCCUGGUGGCCAGAUUUCUGGCACUUGUAGCAAGCUCCUGGGGGAGGAGGUUCUGGAGGAAUGCCUGGCCGCUGCAGUUCAGGUGUUUGGAAGUUCUUGUGUGCUGGAGAUGUGGCUGGGGUUUGUCUCACAGUGGAGGCAAGGAAUUGCAACUUUUUUCUAUUAUUGUACACCUUGAAGGCAAGGUUAAUUAAAUCCUGUUGUGGGGUUUGAGGGCCGGAAUUUAAUUUUUGGAGUUUUAUUUAAUGUAGGGAGCAGAUUGGGUGAUAAAAUAUAUAUUGAGAAUAAGACGGCCUUUUGGGCUUUUAGGGUCUAGGGCCGUAAAGUGUCUCAGGGUUGCUGCCAAACGAGGCAUGAACUGGGCUGGGUUUUUAUAUUUGAUGAAAAAGAGCCUAAACGCUAUCUGAUUUGGGAUAAAGAAAAAGGAGCAUUAACCUUGACUAUGCCUUUAGCUCCAGCCACCUUUUUAAGAGAAAAUUGCUGGGCAGGUAGGGGAGGGCUAGUCACGGAAGGAAACUGUAAGCCGGACCGGGUGUGAGGAGGGGAGGUGAUAAAAAGAUUAUAUGGUGGAGGAGCGGAGGCUGAGGAAGAAUUGGGACCUAGCUCGGCCUGGCAAGGAGCAGCCUGGGGAGGAGGGGAGAGGUCAGAUGGGUCUAUAGAAAAGAUUAGAAAGACUCAGCGAUGCUUGGGGUUGGGACUGAGGAGACAGGCGGGAGGGAAAGAAGGAAGAUUUGGGAUGAGUUGCACUGGGAACAGAGACUAGGGAGGGACUGAUGUGUAAAAGAACGCCUGGACGUCAGGCACCUCAGACCAUUUGCCCAUUUUACGACAAGAAUUAUUUAGAUCUUGCAGGAUGGAAAAAUUGAAAGUGCUGUUUUCCGGCUAUUUGGAACUACUGUUGAGUUUGUAUUGGGGUCAAGCGGCAUUGCAGAAGAAAAUAAGGCAUUUAGGUUUUAGGUCAGGUGUGAGUUGAAGAGGUUUUAAGUUUUUGAGAACAUAGGCUAAGGGAGAAGAAGGAGGAAUGGAGAGUGGAAGGUUGCCUACAGUGAAGGAGGCAAGUUUAAAGAAAAGGGAGAGUAGAGACACGGAGAGAAGCGGUUCAGGGGUUCUUACUCUCCAGAAAAGUGGGAAAGGGGUCGGGGUGCAGAGAUACGAGGUUGGAGUACUUGCUCCUCCUCUAGAAAAGCGGGACUUGCCGCUCAGGGUGAAGGAGAAGGGGUUGGGGGUUUCUUGCCCCCCAGAAAGGCGGAGAAGGGGUAGAGACACGGAGAGAAGGGGUUGGGGUCCUUGCCCAUUCCCCAGAAAAGCGGGACUUGCCGCUAAGGGUGAAGGACCAAGGCAGGCGUCCCUGCGUGGUCUGACACCUCUGAAACCUGGGUGAAUAAUCAGAGAGGUGUCCCUGCAAUGAUUAAACACCAAGGGAAGGCUGCCUUCCCAGUCCGUGACCGGCGCUGGAGUUUUGGGUCCACGGAUAAAACGUGUCUCCUUUAUCUCUACCAGAAAAUGAAAGGAAUUGAAGUUAAGAGAAGGGAGAAAUUGAAGUGUGGCGCCAAGAUUGAAAGGAGAAAGAGGUUGAGGGAUAGUGAGGGAGGUUGGAGAAGAGAGUAAAAAGAGGCUGCUUACUGGAUUUGAAAUUGGUGAGAUGUUUCUUGGGCUGGUUGGUCUGAGGACUUGAGGUUGUAGGUGGAUCUUUCUCAUGGACCAAAGAGCAGGAGGACAGGGGAUUGAUCUCCCAAGGGAGGUUCCCCCCCCCCUCCCCCCGCGCCAGUUACGGCACCAAAUUUAAUGCACGUCCAUGUGAAGAGACCACCAAACAGGCUUUGUGUGAGCAACAAGGCUGUUUAUUUCACCUGGGCGCAGGUGGGCUGAGUCCGAAAAGGGAGUCAGUGAAGGGAGAUAGGCGUGAGGCCGUUUUAUAAGAUUUGGGUAGGUAAAGGAAAAAGGGGGUUUGUUCUCUGGCGGGCAGGAGUGGGGGUGGCAACGUGCUCAGUGGGGGAGCUUUUUGAGCCAGGAUGAGCCAGGAGAAGGAAUUUCAUAAGAUAAUGUCAUCAGUUAAGUCAAGGACCGGCCUUUUUCACUUCUUUUGUGGUGGAAUGUCAUCAGUUAAGGCGGGGCAGGGCAUAUUCACUUCUUUUGUGAUUCUUCAGUUACUUCAGGCCAUCUAGGCAUAUACGUGCAAGUCACAGGGGAUGCGAUGGCUUGGCUUGGGCUCAGAGGCCUGACGCACUGUGCUGCAAGCUGCUUUCAAACAAAUGCAUUUAUUAUAUCUUGGAGAACAUUCCAGUCCAGCAGUUAGUGCUGCCUGCCUCUUUGACAGGCUGCAGAGGAUGGCACUGUUGCAUGUGCAGGAAUUUUAUGACCUCCCUCAUGAUAGAGGUUGGGGUUGCUUCCUGUUUGGGGCCAUAUUCUAAGAGAUGCUAUAGUGAACAUCCUUGUUCUGUAUCUUUGGGCACUUUUACCAAGAUUUCAGGACCAAAUACUUAAGUGGAACUGCUGGGUCAGAGGGUAUGUGCAUUUGAAAUUUUGGUAGAUAAGUCCAGAAUGCCCUCCAAGGGGUAGCCUCCAACUACCCCCUCGUUAAUCCACCCUCCAUUCAGCAAAGUGAGUUGUAAAGUUGACUGAAUCAUCUAAUAAUCCUGCUUAAAACUGCCAGGAGCUUCCGCGGAGACCCCCACUUGCAAUUCUGUGUGCACAGUCCCCUCCUUCAAGGCCGCAGCCACGCCAGGCUCUCCUGUCCCUCCCACACAGUGGCUUGAACCCACAACAGGGUCUUUGCAUGUGCAAGGCCCUUGCACCCAGUGCCCUCAGAGCUCCAUGGAAUGCCUUCUUCCCAUUCCUCAGUCUCACAUUGUACCUCCUGGUGCAGGCUGCAGGCCUCGCCAGCCUCAGUCAAAUGUAACGUUCCUAGGCCAAGCCACGAAUUGCCCAACUGGGUGGUCCGGCUGCCCUGCUAUCUCACUUGUUUGUGUGCUUAUUGUCAACUCUACCUAUGAGGAGUGAGCUCCUAAAAGCAGAGAUUCGGCCAGCGCAGGUAGCUCACACCUGUAAUCCCAGCACUUUGGGAGGAUGAGGCGGGCGGAUCACCUGAGCUCAGGAGUUCAAGACCAUCCUGGCCAACAUGGUGAAACCCCGUUUCUACUGAAAAUACAAAAAUUAUCCAGGCAUUGUGGUGCACGCCUGUAAUCGCAGCUACUCGGGAGGCUGAGGCAGGAGAAUUGCUUGAACCUGGGAGGCGGAGGUGGCAGUGAGCUGAGAUCGCGCCAUUGCACUCCAGCCUGGGCAACAGAGCGAGACUCCGUCUCAAAAAACAAAAACAAAACAAAACAAAAAAAACACAGAGAUUCUUGACUGUGUCUCCGGUCACAGUGCCUGACACUUAGUAGGUGUUUAAGAAGGAGAUGCUGGCUGGUUACCACCCUCUGCCAACAUGAGGGUGGUAAGUGACAUCUAUCUGAGAUGCCUGUGGUCCAGCUGAUGUUGACAGGGUCCUCAGGGUGCCCCCCACCCCCUCACUGAAGCAUGAGCUCUUCUACACCCGCCAGAGGUCACUGGGCAGAGGCCAAAGUUGCAGGGACCAUGCUGAAUGCUGGGCCCAUCCCAGCAACAUUUUACUGUUGUGGAGACUGUUUCCCUGCUGUUGGGUGAGGUCAAGCAUUGAUGUUUAAGGGUCUGUCUGUUUCUUUGUAAUUCAAUUGCUGCCCAUGCCCUUAACCUGUUUGCCUUUCCGGUUUUCUGUUUCUUAUUGACAUUACGAACUCUCUGUAAUGAAGAUAAGUGAGGUCUUUGUCUCUCAUUUGUGUUGCAAUGUUUUUUUUUCUCAGUUGCUAGUCUUUUAGGCUUUGGACUAAUUUUCCACGUAAGUUUCAAUUUCAUGGAGUCAAGUUCAUUAGUCAUUUCCUGUAUUUUUUUUUUUUUUUUAAGAGUUGGGUCUUGCUCUGUCACCCAGGCUAGAAAGCUGGUGUGAUCAUAGCUCACUGUAACCUCCAACUCCCAGGCUCAAGGGUUCCUCCUGCCUUGGCUCCUGGGUAGCUGGGACUUUAGGCCUGUAUGAUUUCUAACUGUGAUGUGAUGAGAUCCCCUCCCCUGGCUCUGUGAGGCCUGGGGCUGGGCUUUUCCAGGAGUAGGAGAGGGUGAAUUUUGGUGCCUGCAAAGCAGCCUGGCCUCGCGUGAUGCCAAAGCAAAAGCUUGGGGCCUGGGGCAGAUGGAAUCUGGCUUGCAUCUGGGGGUUAACUGGGCAGUUGUGGGGCACUGGAAUGAGAGGAGAGGGAGAGUGGGACUCCUGAGACCCUGCUGUGGGAUGAGGGUGAGAGAAUGGCAGGGAGGUAGACAGGAAGCACAGACCCUCAGCCCCCUGGGACUUGGUGCCCAGGUUGGUAAAAAAAAAAAAAAAAAAAAAAAAAAGAGUGGGGGGACUCGCUUUUUCCAAGCCUGUGACUGACAGAGCAGCGUCUCCACCCAUGGAAGCUGCUCAGGGGCCACCUGCAUGUUGGCACAGUGGGCAAGGAGGGGCUGCCCAUUAUCCCCAGACAGCGAGUGGGUCUGGGAGGGACUGAGCCCGUGCUGUGGUCAUAAGCGCUCAAAAGACAGAGGCCACAGCUUCGUUCUUGAAAGAAUCUGUUUAUUUUGAGAUUAAAAGAGUCUCAUCU
rnacentral:lncRNA from 1 species